rnacentral:rRNA from 1 species
AUUGAACGCUGGCGGCAUGCCUUACACAUGCAAGUCGAACGGUAACAGGUCUUCGGAUGCUGACGAGUGGCGAACGGGUGGGUAAUACAUCGGAACGUGCCUAGUAGUGGGGGAUAACUACUCGAAAGAGUGGCUAAUACCGCAUGAGAUCUACGGAUGAAAGCAGGGGAUCGCAAGACCUUGUGCUACUAGAGCGGCCGAUGGCAGAUUAGGUAGUUGGUGGGAUAAAAGCUUACCAAGCCGACGAUCUGUAGCUGGUCUGAGAGGACGAUCAGCCACACUGGGAAUGAGACACGGCCCAGACUCUUACGGGAGGCAGCAGUGGGGAAUUUUGGACAAUGGGCGCAAGCCUGAUCCAGCAAUGCCGCGUGCAGGAUGAAGGCCUUCGGGUUGUAAACUGCUUUUGUACGGAACGAAAAGCCCUGGGUUAAUACCCUGGGGUCAUGACGGUACCGUAAGAAUAAGCACCGGCUAACUACGUGCCAGCAGCCGCCGUAACAC